rnacentral:rRNA from 1 species
GAUGAACGCUGGCGGCGUGCCUAAUACAUGCAAGUCGAGCGAACAGACGAAGAGCUUGCUCCUCUGAUGUUAGCGGCGGACGGGUGAGUAACACGUGUAUAACCUACCUAUAAGACUGGGAUAACUUCGGGAAACCGGAGCUAAUACCGGAUAACAUGUUGAACCGCAUGGUUCAACAGUGAAAGACGGUCUUGCGGUCACUUAUAGAUGGAUCCGCGCCGCAUUAGCUAGUUGGUAAGGUAACGGCUUACCAAGGCAACGAUGCGUAGCCGACCUGAGAGGGUGAUCGGCCACACUGGAACUGAGACACGGUCCAGACUCCUACGGGAGGCAGCAGUAGGGAAGCUUACGCAAUGGGGUAAAACAUGACGGAGCAACGCCGAGUGAGUGACGAAGGUCUUCGGAUCGUAAAACUCUGUUAUUAGGGAAGAACAGAUGUGUAAGUAACUAUGCACGUCUUGACGGUAACUAAUAAGAAAGCCACGGCUAACUACGUG